rnacentral:rRNA from 1 species
AAUCAACGCUGGCGGCGUGCCUAACACAUGCAAGUCGAACGCGAAAGCCCGCAAGGGUAAGUAGAGUGGCGCACGGGUGAGUAACACGUGGACAACCUGCCUUCGAGUGGGGAAUAACCUUCCGAAAGGAGGGCUAAUACCGCAUAACACCUCGGGACACAAGUUUUGGGGUUGAAAAGAGCAAUUUGCUCGAAGAGGGGUCCGCGCCUGAUUAGCUAGUUGGUGAGGUAACGGCUCACCAAGGCUUCGAUCAGUAGCCGUCCUGAGAGGGAGCACGGCCACACUGGAACUGAGACACGGUCCAGACUCCUACGGGAGGCAGCAGUGGGGGAAUUUUUGGCAAUGGGCGAAAGCCGUGACCAAGCAACGCCGGCGUGGGUGAUGAAGUAUCUUGGUACGUAAAACCCUUUCGGCAGGGACGAACCUAAUGACGGUACCUGCGGAAGAAGCCCCGGCUAACUCCGUGCCAGCCGCCGCUGUAAC